GUAUGAUGAAGGUCUUCGGAUUGUAAAGUACUGUCUUUGGGGAAGAACGAUUUCUUUGAGAAUAUUGAGGGGAUAUGAGGGUACCCAAGGAGGAAGCCCCGGCUAACUACGUGCCAGCAGCCGCGGUAAUACGUAGGGGGCAAGCGUUGUCCGGAAUUAUUGGGCGUAAAGGGCGCGUAGGCGGAUCAUUAAGGCCGGUGUGAAAGAUCAGGGCUCAACCCUGAGAGUGCAUCGGAAACUGGUGAUCUUGAGGACAGGAGAGAAAGUGGAAUUCCUAGUGUAGCGGUGAAAUCCGUAGAUAUUAGGAGGAACACCAGUGGCGAAGGCGACUUUCUGGACUGUAACUGACGCUGAGGCGCGAAAGCGUGGGGAGCAAACAGGAUUAGAUACCCUGGUAGUCCACGCCGUAAACGAUGAGUGCUAGGUGUAGAGGUAUCGACCCCUUCU
rnacentral:rRNA from 1 species